UUGUUUAUGCUUAUUAGUGAAUGCUGGUGACUUGGUAAAUUCUGAAUUCUUCUGAAUGAGGAAGUGGAAUAAAAGUUAAUGCUUGGCUGGAGAGUGUUUCUUCAAUAUGUACUACUAUAUAGUGUCUAAAUGUUUUACAUAUCUAUCUAUAAUAAUAAGUGGCUAUGUUAUUGCUACAGGAAUGAACAGUACGUUUCCCAUUCCGUUGUUUUAAUCCGUGUACUUUAUAUAAUCUCUUUUUUAACCUUCGUGUAGUGCUUUUAUGUCCGUGUAAAAGUAAAUAUUUUGGUCAUUUACUGCAACUAUGUCAGACAGUCGGCAGCCUUUUGCAUUGGAAGACUCGCAUCUUGAGCUACAACCCCAAGGGCCAGACCGUGCACGCCAUGGCCGAGCUGCUACUAGCCAGGAUAUUGCCGAGAAAGUUGAGAGGAAAAAGGGAGAAAGACGCCUCCAACAACUUCAGGCGGAGAUUUCUGCUCUUUAAGACCACUUUUUCUAUUUCUUUUUCAAUUCUCUCUCUCUCUCUCUGAAACGAGAAGCUCUGUACUUUUUAUGUGACUAUGGAGGAAUAAAUUAUUGUGGUUUGCUUCUCCCUUUUUUUCUUUUCUUUUAUCUGAUUUCUUUCUUCUUUUUGGUUCUAUUUUUCCGUUUACAACUUCGAGUUUAAUUUUUUUUGUAAUUUGUGUUCUCUUUCUUAGUUUUACUUUUUAAUGGAUAAUGUCAUCUGAGUUUUCUA